AGUGAACGCUGGCGGCGUGCUUAACACAUGCAAGUCGAACGCGAAAGGGGAGCAAUCCCCGAGUAGAGUGGCGAACGGGUGAGUAAUGUGUGGGUAAUUUGCCUUUCAGCGGGGGAUAACUCGGGGAAACCUGAGCUAAUACCCCAUAAUGUUGCUUGAUCUUCGGGUCGAGUAAUCAAACGAUGGCCUCUGCUUGCAAGCUAUCGCUGAAAGAUGAGCCCACAUCCUAUCACGCUUGUUGGUGGGGUAAUGGCCUACCAAGGCGACGACGGGUAGCCGGCCUGAGAGGGUGCACGGCCACACUGGAACUGAGACACGGUCCAGACUCCUACGGGAGGCAGCAGUGGGGAAUCUUGCGCAAUGGGCGAAAGCCUGACGCAGCGACGCCGCGUGAGGGAUGACGGCC
rnacentral:rRNA from 1 species